AGGUUUUUGAAAGUUGUUCAGUUUUUGAAAUCUUGUAUUAAUAUAUGCCGAGCGGCAUCUUAAGCGCUUCUAUAUUUGUUUAUCUUCAGUUUUUAUUAAUUUUUCUGCAUUUUAUUCCUUUUUCCGAAAUUAUUAGGCUUACCUAGUCAUACAAACUAGAUGUCGUCAGGACAGUUCACGGAGGGCGAACUUGAGUCGCGACACACAAAACUUGGUUCUUUUAUAUAAUUGAACCUAUAGUAUCUAUACAUUAUAGGGGGUCAAAAUGAAUUUUCCUAGCUUUCAGUGUUCUUAUUCUAAAGGAUGCCAUCUCCAAUUUAUCAAGUUGGAUAAGUUCUUCAAACUACUCUUGGGAGCCUUUCAUAGCUGGUGUACACCAGACGCCUUUUGUGUGUAUGAUUAAGUGCUGCCAAUUUAUUCGCUACUUUAUUUGCUUCAUGAAAACAAUAUUGCAGGACAAACUCUUUCUCCUCGAUUACCUGUUUGAUGGUGUCCACUGCUUGGAUCAUCCUCCAUGACGUCGUGGUCUUUCUAUUCAUACAUGAUGUUAGUAUCUGCAAAUCUGUCUCUACCUUGAUAUUAUCAAGAUCAUUUGCUUCACAUAAACCUUUAGCUUGUGCAUAUUUAUCCAUUAUAUGCACAAAUAUAAAUUAUCAUGCCAAACAUCUUUGUAAAGUUUAUAGAUCAUAUGCUUUCUGAUUAAUAAACAUUUAUUUUAGUAUUAACCACAUGCUAAAAUAACAAUUUUACUUUAAAAAUAAUAGUUAAAACUUAGGAUUAAAAAGAACAAACAUUUUUCUUCACCUUUGCAACCUUUUUUUUAGAGGAGCGAUCAUUUUAUUAACACUUUGAAUAGUUUUUAAAAAUUGCAUAAUUUAAGAUUUAAAAUAAUCUGAAUAAAAAUAUGCUGGAAAAAAAAAAGACACAUUGGUUAGUCAAGCAAAAUAAAGAAGAAGGGCUGAGAGCCGUGUGAGAAAUAGGAAAUUCAAGAGGACCAACAUGAUUACACACGUGGCAAUCUAGAAAGGCUGUUGAGGACAUGAAACGUGUAAAGUUGUUCAGCAAAAUUUUCCACAUGUCUACAACAAAAGUAAACUGUCACUUGUCUUCUAAGCAUAUUGGACAGCCAUUAAGCAGAGAUGUUGACCGGAUAACUCCCUAGCUAUUUUCUGUGCGGUCUUAGUCACAAUUCGUCCCUGUGAUGUGCUAAGUCAGCCUUUUCCCGAAAUAUUACCACAACAAAGCUAUGAGAAGCUAAGAAGAGAGCUUGCAAGAAUACUUUGUAUUAAACAAGAGAGAGCUUUAUACAAGUAUUGGAUUGCUUGAAUGUUUCUUGGAUGUAAAUGCCAAAUGCCUCUAGCCUAUUUAUAGUUGCUAGAGUCCCAAAUCAACGGCUAAGAUCUAUUCUAAUCAAUGGAUAAGAUCAAAGCUCUAGAGAAUUCUACAAAUCUCUACAAAUCUCUACACUUAGUAGAAUAUACAAGAGAAGUCUAGGUGGGUCU
rnacentral:lncRNA from 1 species